ACCAUGCAGUCGAGCGGCAGCGGGAAAGUAGCUUGCUACUUUUGCCGGCGAGCGGCGGACGGGUGAGUAAUGCCUGGGGAUCUGCCCAGUCGAGGGGGAUAACUACUGGAAACGGUAGCUAAUACCGCAUACGCCCUACGGGGGAAAGCAGGGGACCUUCGGGCCUUGCGCGAUUGGAUGAACCCAGGUGGGAUUAGCUAGUUGGUGAGGUAAUGGCUCACCAAGGCGACGAUCCCUAGCUGGUCUGAGAGGAUGAUCAGCCACACUGGAACUGAGACACGGUCCAGACUCCUACGGGAGGCAGCAGUGGGGAAUAUUGCACAAUGGGGGAAACCCUGAUGCAGCCAUGCCGCGUGUGUGAAGAAGGCCUUCGGGUUGUAAAGCACUUUCAGCGAGGAGGAAAGGUUGGUAGCUAAUAACUGCCAGCUGUGACGUUACUCGCAGAAGAAGCACCGGCUAACUCCGUGCCAG
rnacentral:rRNA from 1 species